CCGAGACUUCCUCCCUGCGCCAACAGAACACUCAGCUAUUGGGGGAGCUCGAGUCCGCCAAAGAAGCAGCUGCUGCUGGGGAGAAAAGACUUGAGGAGGUGGUGGGCAAACUGUCUGAAGCUGCCUCCUCCCUUGCUGCCGUCACCACUGAGAGAGAUGCUGCGGAGGCUUCAAAGCAAGAACUGGAGGUGGAGAAGGCUGAUUUGAUGAACGUG
rnacentral:lncRNA from 1 species